UAACGCGAAGAACCUUACCAGGUCUUGACAUCCUCUGACAACCCUAGAGAUAGGGCUUUCCCCUUCGGGGGACAGAGUGACAGGUGGUGCAUGGUUGUCGUCAGCUCGUGUCGUGAGAUGUUGGGUUAAGUCCCGCAACGAGCGCAACCCUUGAUCUUAGUUGCCAGCAUUCAGUUGGGCACUCUAAGAUGACUGCCGGUGACAAACCGGAGGAAGGUGGGGAUGACGUCAAAUCAUCAUGCCCCUUAUGACCUGGGCUACACACGUGCUACAAUGGACGGUACAAAGGGCAGCGAGACCGCGAGGUUUAGCCAAUCCCAUAAAACCGUUCUCAGUUCGGAUUGCAGGCUGCAACUCGCCUGC
rnacentral:rRNA from 1 species